rnacentral:rRNA from 1 species
UACGGGGGGGGCAAGCGUUGUUCGGAAUUACUGGGCGUAAAGGGCUCGUAGGCGGCCAACUAAGUCAGACGUGAAAUCCCCAGGCUCAACCUGGGAACUGCGUCUGAUGCUGGAUGGCUUGAAUCCGGGAGAGGGAUGCAGAAUUCCAGGUGUAGCGGUGAAAUGCGUAGAGAUCCGGAAGAACACCGGAGGCGAAGGCGGCUUGCUGGGCGUGAUCUGACGCUGAGGCGCGAAAGCGUGGGGAGCGAACAGG